UACGAAGGUGGCAAGCGUUGUUCGGAUUUACUGGGCGUACAGGGAGCGUAGGCGGUUGGAUAAGCCCUCCGUGAAAUCUCCAGGCUUAACCUGGAAAGUGCAGAGGGGACUGUUCAGCUAGAGGAUGGGAGAGGAGCGCGGAAUUCCCGGUGUAGCGGUGAAAUGCGUAGAGAUCGGGAGGAAGGCCGGUGACGAAGGCGGCGCUCUGGAACAUUUCUGACGCUGAGGCUCGAAAGCGUGGGGGAGCAAACAGG
rnacentral:rRNA from 1 species